rnacentral:rRNA from 1 species
AUUGAACGCUGGCGGCAGGCCUAACACAUGCAAGUCGAGCGAGCGGCGGACGGGUGAGUAAUGUAUGGGGACUGCCCGAUAGAGGGGGAUAACUACUGGAAACGGUAGCUAAUACCGCAUACUAUCGGAUAACCCAUAUGGGAUUAGCUAGUAGGUGAGGUAAUGACUCACCUAGGCGACGAUCCCUAGCUGGUCUGAGAGGAUGAUCAGCCACACUGUGACUGAGAAACGGCCCAGAAUCCUACGGAGGCAGCAGGGGGGAAUAAUGCACAAUGGGGGCAAGCCUGAUGCAUCCAUGCCACGUGUAUGAAGAAGGCCCUAGGGUGGUAGAGUACUUUCAGUCGGGAUGGGUUACCGACAGAAGAAGCACCGGCUAACUCCGUGCCAGCAGCCGCGGUAAUUC